AAAAAAAACAGUUGGGUUACCUCCCAACAAGUGCUUAAUUUAACGUCUAGAGCUCGACGAUACCUCAAAAACUCAUGGAGGUCGGAAACAGCACUCUAACCAUUGGAAAGCUUUUCUACUCUUGGGUGCUUUCUCCACCAAAACACUUCUCUUGGCUCGAACAUCCUCCACAAGCAUUGCCCCCUUCUCAUUCUUGUUCCGAAA
rnacentral:lncRNA from 1 species